rnacentral:rRNA from 1 species
CUACGGGUGGCUGCAGUCGAGAAUCUUCCGCAAUGGGCGAAAGCCUGACGGAGCGACGCCGCGUGGUGGAUGAAGUCCUUAGGGACGUAAACACCUUUUAUGGAGGAGGAAGUAUAUUGACGUUACUCCAUGAAUAAGGGGCUCCCAACUCUGUGCCAGCAGGAGCGUAAUACAGAGGCCUCAAGCGUUAUCCGGAUUCACUGGGCGUAAAGGGUGCGUAGGCGGUUAUAUUAGUCAGCUGUUAAAUCCUCGGGCUCAACCCGAGAAUCGCAGUUGAAACGGUAUAACUAGAAGAUGUGAGAGGUAAGCAGAACUCUCGGUGUAGGGGUGAAAUCCGUUGAUAUCGAGGGGAAUACCAAAUGCGAAGGCAGCUUACUGGCACAUUCUUGACGCUGAGGCACGAAAGCGUGGGUAGCGAAUGGGAUUAGAUACCCCCGUAGUC